rnacentral:rRNA from 1 species
UACGGAGGGAGCUAGCGUUGUUCGGAAUUACUGGGCGUAAAGGGCUCGUAGGUGGCCGACUAAGUCAGACGUGAAAUCCCUCAGCUUAACUGGGGAACUGCGUCUGAUACUGGAUGGCUUGAGUUUGGGAGAGGGAUGCGGAAUUCCAGGUGUAGCGGUGAAAUGCGUAGAUAUCUGGAGGAACACCGGUGGCGAAGGCGGCAUCCUGGACCAACACUGACGCUGAGUGAGCGAAAGCCAGGGGAGCAAACGGG